AAUUCAAGAUUAAGACAUAGAUUUUCUCCACCUUGAAGGUGUUGUUCUUCCUUUGACAAGCCUUGUCUUCAUAUUACCAGGAGUCCGUGGCUCAAAUCCUUCACCAUUGUCACCAGAUUCUUCCUCGCCCUUUUCAACACUAACACUUCCUCUAAUUGACGGUACUAACCCGAGCCUCUUCCACCGGAAAAAACCUUUACUCCCACCACUACUCUUCUUCUCCAUAAGCCUCUCCAGCUGGAAAUGCAUAGCGCCACACUGACUCUGCAGCCUCACCACAUCCUCCCGUAGCCUUCUUAUCUCUGCUUGUUGAACAUUCAUCUCACGUUUAGACAAACACCGCGCUGCAGAACCUCCCUCGAGGUAAUGUGAACCAGAAGCGUUUGUUGGACUCCUCGUAGUGCUGCUUAUCGAGCUACUAUUACAGUCAAUGUGACGACUUAGCUUUGUCUGCUCAGUGAACAACACUCCAAUGAUUGCUCUCACCGGUAAACGAUC